rnacentral:rRNA from 1 species
UGCGUAGGCGGGCUAAUAAGUCAGUGGUGAAAUCUUCCGGCUCAACCGGGAAACUGCCAUUGAUACUGUUAGCCUCGAGUUAGGUUGAGGUAGGCGGAAUGUGUAAUGUAGCGGUGAAAUGCUUAGAUAUUACACAGAACACCAAUUGCGUAGGCAGCUUACUGGACCUACACUGACGCUGAGGCACGAAAGCGUGGGGAGCGAACAGGAUUAGAUACCCUGGUAGUCC